CCCCACCUCCCACCAAGUUGCCUGAAUACAGUAACACACACAGGCACCGGGGACGUGUGUAUCACGAGGCAAACAAGGCAUCUGCCUUGGGCGCCACUUUGCAGGGGGCGGCAAAAAAAAGCAUCCCUCCAAACCCCCAGGCAGAUCCCUUGCUUGCCUCGCAUCCUGGGGGGCUCAAGAGCUGACCGGCUGGCCACUUUUGAGCCCCCCCAAGGCUGGCAGCGGGCAGCGAAGGAGCAUACUCACCUGAGCUCUUCCUGCUCAGCUUCCUCUGCGCCGCUUAAUGAAGCCGGGAGCCAGAAUAUGACGUCAGUCCG